rnacentral:rRNA from 1 species
AUACGGAGGGUGCAGGCGUUAUCCGGAUUUAUUGGGUUUGAAGGGUGCGCAGGCGGACCUGUCAGUCAGUGGUGAAAUCCCGGGGCUCAACCCCGGAACUGCCAUUGAUACUACAGGUCUUGAAUACGGUUGAAGUAGGCGGAAUGUAGCAUGUAGCGGUGAAAUGCAUAGAUAUGUUACAGAACACCGAUCGCGAAGGCAGCUUACUAAGCCGAUAUUGACGCUCAGGCACGAAAGCGUGGGGAGCGAACAGGAUUAGAAACCCCUGUAGUCC